rnacentral:lncRNA from 1 species
CGGAAGCACUACAGCGCCCUGUCACCUCCACCUCAUCCUGGCUGGUUCUGAAAACCCGAGGGCGGCGGCCCCUCCUCCUGAGCCAUUUCCUUACUUCUUGUGGCACUAACAUCAUUUCCAGGAGCAGGUAUAAUCUCUCAGAAUAGCUCCUUCUGGAUGACGCAGCCUUAGCUUGGCCUCCCUGAGCCCCAGGGUGAGGUGGGAGUUGCAGGUUGGCUGGGUCAGGACCUGGGCCAAGACAAGAGGGCCCCAGCCACAGGUCCUGGACUCCCCUGCAGUACCUGUCUCCCUGGCACCUCCCCAACCCUGCCUAUCUCUCACGGGCAUUGGGGAGGCACCCAGGAUGUGGACAGCUCCAAGUGCAAACCCUGGCUCUCUGCUCACUUGCUGUGGAUGAGUCUGUUCUCACACUGCUAUAAAGACAUACCUGAGACUAGGUAAUUUACAAAGGAAAGAGGUUUAAUGGACUCACAGUUCCGUAUGGUUGGGGAGGCCUCAGGAAACUUACAAUCAUGGCAGAAGGUGAGAGAGAAGCAAAGGCACAUCUUACAUGGCAGCGGGAGAGAGAGAGAGCACACGCACGAACAAGAAAAUCACUCAUCGGAUCUCGUGAGAACUCACUAUCACGAGAAAAGCAUCGGAAACCACCUCCAUGACCCAAUUACCUCCCACCAGGUCCCUCCCUCGACAGGUGGGGAUUAUGGGGAUUACAAUUUGAGAUGAGAUUUGAGUGGGGACACAGAGCCAAGCCAUAUCAUGCUGUGUGGCCUUGGGCCCAUUACUUGACCUCUCUGUGAUCCAAAUCCCUGACUCCUAAAAAUGAAGAAGCCUACCUCACUGGGCUCUUGUAGGAGGAAAUAUAUUCACAGCUAUACACCCACCCCAUAAAUCCUGGCCCACAGGAGGUGUACAGCGAACACCGCUGUCAUUGUUCCCAACUCUGCCUCAGUGUAGGUCAGCUUUCUUUAGUGCAUGCCUCACACGAGGCUCUGUGGCUACUCCCCACACUGGAGGCCACCUAGUUCUAUGGCUGUGGAAACUGAGGCACAGGCCUGUCGGUCAGGAACAGUGUCAGGCUUGGGACUGGCAGACCUGAAGCUGAGCAGCGCCAGGCCUGUGCUCUGGGCCUCGGCUGCCUCCGGGGAUCCACAGGUGGAUGGCUGGGUCCAUGUUCUUGAGUGGAGUGGGGAAGUCAGGCAUACACACACACGCCUGACACACACACACACACACACACACACCACCCAUGCGCAGGGCAGGUGCUAGUACAGAGGUGUUUACAACGUGCUGAGGGGGCAGGAGAAGGUUUCUCUGAGGAUGGUGCUUGACUAGGUUUUGAACUUCAAGCAAAUAGUUCUGAGACCAGGAAAUCAAAAAGGGGGCUCCCAACAGGGGCACAAGCUGUGCCAAGGCCCAGCGGUAGGGAGGUGCCUGAGCACGGGCACAGCGGGAGUGGGGCUGGGAAGGCAGAUUGGAUCCCGGGGCUAUCAGGGAUCUUGAUGAUCCCUGUGCAGUCCACAGGGCUGGGGCACAAGGAGGGCCCCCAGGCUCUGCUUUCACCCAGAUGGUGCCGCGGGAUGGGCCUUGGGGCAGAACUCUGCCAGGUUGACCAGGCCAGGCCUCUCAGGGAGGCAGGGGUGGUGCUGGGACCUGCUUCCUGCCGCACCCUCCCCCACUGUGACAGGUCGCCGGCCCUGCCUGGGCCCCUUCCUGCCCACUUGUCCUCCCCCAGGGGUCAUCCUCCCCCGCCUCCCCAGGGCUCUCUCUUGGCCACGUGAGGGCAGCAUGGAAGUGCUGGGCUCUUGUUGGGGGUGGCAGUGGAGGAUGACUUUCCAGCACCUUUGCCUUCAGGGGGGGUGACAGCGGGCAUGCUCUCCCAUGGCUCAGAACCUAGUGCCUGCUCACAACACACCUGUAGCGGCCCCUCCCCUUCCUGGUCUCACUGUCCCGCUCCCUGCCCUGCCUCCUGUGGCCCUCAAACAAGCUGAUUGCACUGGAAUCCCAGUCUCAGGGUCUACUUCUGGGAGCCCAGCCUAACAGCCCCUCCUAGCAGACGACAGGUGCCCUGGGUGUUGGGGUCAGGGACAUUGGCACAGAAGCAGGGAAGCCUGGAGAGCCAGGGAGGCCCUCGGGACACAAAGGGGCUCUGUCUUCAGGGCCUAGCCCAGCCCCAAAGGGCCGUCUGGUCCCACUGCCUGGGUAGGCCCUUUCCUGGGGCUGCUCCUCCUGUUACACCAGGACUCAUAUGCUGCCUUCUCCUGGAAGCCCCCCUGAUUGUAUUCCCUCCACCCAGAGCUCCCCAUGGGUUUGCUCUGUUUCAUUCCCUGCUCCCUGGGCUGAGCCCCGCAGUCUCCCUGCCCCUUCCCUCCAGCUGGAAUGGCCUUGGCUUUCCACCCCUCCUCUGCUUCCUGGAGAACACGUGUUCUUCUCUCACGCCCCCUGUGGCAUCCUCUGCUCCUGGGGAAUAUAGCAGAGCGCUGUCAGCCCCUGAGCCUCUGGCUGGCCCAAGGAAGGGUCCUCCCUGGCUCCCUGGCCUGACUCUUGAUCUCCUUGCGGGCAGGACCAGCUCCAACCCCCCUUGACAGCUGCAGGGCUGGGGCACAGCCAGGGCGCAGUCUGGGUGCUGAGACCAGGAGAUGGCACCUCCCACUUCGAGGUCACCUGUCCUUGACCAGAGGGUGAGAGUAGUUAGGGGUGGCAGGUGGGGCCAUGAGCAGGGCUCUGCUGACCCGGGGCACGUGCCACCCUUGCUUCCCCGGCUGACCAUCCUGUGCGUAGAGGUGUUGGUAGGGCAGGUCCUGAAGGGAGGAGAGAACAGGAGGAUGAGAUAUCCCAUUGACUGAGGCUGAGCAGAAAACCAAUUAGCCACGGUCGCCUCUGGGCUCCACCCAAAGGAUUAAAAAGACAAAGGCAGACGGGGCAUCCCCAGCUGGAGGAAGAAAGGCUGCCACUGUGCAGUGCAGCUGGGGGAACGGGGCGGCGCUCUCACUGGGGCCUCUUGCCCAUCUCCCUAUCCCAGGCUUCCAGAAUAUUCGCUCUUAUCCUCACCUGCACCGUGCUCCUCCCACACCUAGGUCUCCACCCCACCUCCAGCCACACCUGUGCCAGGGGCAGAGUGGCUCAGCCCCUCCAGCUUCAUGCCCUGCCCCUCCCAGCCAGGUGGUCCCCCUUUGGGUCACCCACACACAUCCCUGGCUCACCUGGGCUGCCCCUAGACGUCUGGGGAUGGCCCGGGGUGGCCCUGCCUGCCUACUUGUCCGAUUCCCUCAUAGACAGUGAGUAGGACAAGAGCAGAGGCUGUGCCGGUUGAUCUCUGUGCAGCCCUUCCAUGUGCCCAGUACGGGCCUGGCACCUAGCCGCAUGUGGCACCCAGCCGCAUGUGGCACCCACCUGCUGAGUGGCCAUGUCCACAAGCACUUUCCAGUUAUUAGACGAAAGCGUGAUGGAGGGUCCUGCAUUAGCUUGCAGGGACCAUGUUUGCUGGCAUGUUCCAUGCGUGCCUGUAAGUGCUGUUGGUACAUAUGUGUGUGCACGUUAGUAUCCAUGCAUGGGCCGUGGGAGGCCAUGCAUGCCACACGUGUGUGUUUGUAAGUGCUGUGGGUGCGUGUGCACAUUGCACCCGUGCAUGUGUGUGAACGAGUUCCAUCGCAGUUGCACAGUGCUGCAAGCUGGCACAGCCACAGCCCUGCCUCCAACUUUCCCCAUCUGGGCCGAGGGCUGGGUGGCCCAAGCCCCCUGUGAGGCUGGUCCUCCACCAUCGGAAGGUUCUGGGAGUCCCAGAUGCCAAGCUGCUGUGUGAUCCUGGUCCUGACCGUCCCCCUGUGAAGUGAAGGUGACAUAUUAGCUUAUGGUCCUCAAAAUGUGGUCUUGUGAACAGCCGCUGACAAUUCCCUGGACCUGGUUCAAAUGCAGACUCCUGGGCUUGUCCCGGGUCUCCUGGGUCAGAGCUUGUGGAAGCAGGGCCCUGGAAUUGGCAUUUUAGCCCGUACCCUCGGGAGCAUCUGUGCCUCCUGGGGGCUAUGCUGUGGUUGGAAUCAUUCUUGCUGCAUCGCUGCUCACCGUGUCUUAUGGAAGAACAAGUUGUCUCCAGGGCUGGAGACUCCUCCCUGGCCUUGAUUUGUUGUCCCUUGAUGCCACCAACCACAAAUGCCCUCACCACAUGAGGCAGGACUCUGUCCUCCUGGUACAGAUGAGGAAACUGAGGCCGAGGACGCAGAGGGCAAGCUGGGAAAGAGCCAGGCCCACACUCGAGGCAGCCUUGCAAAUGCCAAGGAGGCGGCUUUUCAUGCCCCGUGGGAGAGAGCCUGCCGACCGCCACAUUGAUGGAACAGGCUGUCUUAGUGGUAGUGAGCACCCUGUUGCUGGAAGUAUUCAAGAGGGGACCUGAAUAACCACCCAUCGCAGCAGCCCUCUUCCUGUAGAGGCUGGGAAUUUUUCUGCCUCCAAGAUGCCACAUGGAAUUUCAGUAGUCGAUGGAAAGGCCCUUCCAAAGCCAGGAUCCUGGGCACCAAAUGGAUGCUGCUGGUUUGAGUUUUGAUCUUGUGUGUGCUCUCUGGGAAGCGGAGUAAACUGGGAUCUUGAGGAGCCAGGCGGGCUCAGCCCUGCUUCCGUACUGGAAGCUCCACAGUGCCUCAGCAGCUCCUCAUCACACAGCCGCCCAUUCGGGGUCUGGGGCAGGGCCCUGAAGUCUGAAUUUCUAAUGCAUUCCACGAGGCUCCCAAGGCUGGGGAGCAGAGCCUUGGGAAACUAGGUCCUGGGGAGCCGCUGGCUUUCUCUGCCACGCAUCAGGCAAGAACCCCAACCUCCAUUUCUCACCCCAGGCAGGGGGCAGCAUCCAGGGGGCAGAGCCCAGAGAGCUGAGCCUGGGACACUGCCCAGUCCUCCUGCAGAGAAUCUGAGCAGGCUCAGCGGCCUCGCCGGCAGGUCUGCACUCUGAACCCAGCACCAGCCUUCCAGAACAGCCUCGUGGGGUCAACAGGGCAGCCUCCCUACACAGCACACAGCCUCGCCGAGGGUUGGGCCUGCAGCCAGCUUCCCGAGCAGCUCUGCCAUUCGUCCCUCCCUGGUGGCACACUGCCCGGUGGCUCAGCUUAGCAGCGUCUUUCCAGAGCUGAGGGAUGGGGCUGCGGGAGGUAUCGGCCAGUCAGGGGCCUGGGCUCCCUGGGCUGCCUGUGUUGCAGGACCCCCAUCUGGGCAGAGGGCUGGGUGGCCCAAGCCCCCUGUGAGGCUGGUCCUCCACCAUCGGGAGGUUCUGGGACUAAGCCAGACUCCAGACAACCCUGGCUGACCUUCCUCUGGGACUUGCUGCCAAGGGACUCGUCCAGCCGGUCCCAGUGACCUCCACUGAGCUGUGCCCAGGGCUCCCAGGUCACUGCAGGACAUUCCUUGAGAGUCGCCAGGCCCCAAAGCCCAGGAGAAGUGGGUGGAGGCCCGUGGCCACACGGGGUGGAGCCGCCCCUGCUCGGCUUUCCUGGAUCUCAGGAGCAAGCCAGUGGGUGACGGCAUGGCCCGUAGGAAGGCCCCUUCCCACUCUGACUUGUGCAUGCACCCGCCCCCCACCCCUUGGCCCCGACACACACACACACACACACACACACACACACACACACGUGAGUCAGCUCUGGAACUCUUCAGGGAGGUGGGCAGGAAGGAUGCCCAGGGGGGAUUGUAGGCAGCCCCUUUGGACCCCUCCCUAAGGACACACGGCCCAGGAGGUGGGGACACGUGAGCUUCCCCGGGCAGGUGAGGGACAGGGGCUCGGGAGGGUUCUGGGGUGAAUACUGUCCCCCUCCACUCCAUGUCUGCCUGGAAACUCAGAUGGUGACCUCUGGAGGUCGGGUCUUUGUAGACAUAAUUAUUUAAAGUAAGAUGAGGUCAGACUGGAUUCAGGGGAGCCCGAUCCCAAUAUGACUGAUGUCCUUAGAAGAGAAAAAGCAGAGACACAGAGACAGGAGAGAGACCAGCCGAGCUGAGGAGCACCGAGGAUGACCAGAAGCUGCACCUGGCCAGGAGAGAGCCCUUCCUGGAGCCCCUGAGGGGAGCACCGUCCCGCCAACACCCAGGCUUUGGGCUUCUGGCCUCCAGCAGCGUGAGGUAAUGAGCUUCUGUGUCUGACGCACGCAGGGCACCAGACCCUGGGGGGUGGCUUACCCGAGACAUCGGAAUCAAGACACCGUGGCCUCUGCACUACAUCCAACCACGUCCUCAAAACUUGAUCGAGUUCUCCAUCCAGGAAGAUGGAGAAGUGUGGUCCCUACCUUCAGAGUCAGAUGCAGUCACAAUUUGCUACCAGGAGCCCUGGGAGGAGGCAGUGUCUGCGGGGGUCGGAGCCAGACAGAGGUGGGUUGGGAUUCUUGACUUCUCUGGGCCUCUGGUUUCUCGCCUGUGAAAUGGGGCCAUGACUGGGCUGCUAUGAGCAACAACAGAAGGCUUGUAAAGUGCUUAUCAGGAGGCGGGGCCCACGACCAUCCCGACAUAAACGCGAGUCAUUAUUUUCAAAAUUCCCCGACAAAGAAGUGUUUGUUAAUCACAGAAGCCAGGAUCUUGUGCCAGGAUGAUCAAUGCAACUUUUCCAGGAUUUGGCACCUGGUACUUUGCUCUCAGCCUUGGGGUCCUUGACAUUUCAGCCAAAGACCCAAAGGCUGAGAGCAAAGUACCAGGUUCCAAAUCUCCGAAGCUGGUGCAGGGGUUGUAACAGGGCCUCUUGUGCAGGGGUUGUAACGGAGCCUCCCGUGCGGGAAUUGUAACGGGGCCUCCCGUGCGGGAAUUGUAACGGGGCCUCCCGUGCGGGAAUUGUAACGGGGCCUCCCGUGCAGGGGUUGUAACGGGGCCUCCCGUGCGGGAAUUGUAACGGGGCCUCCCGUGCGGGAAUUGUAAUGUGGCCUCCCUUGCAGGAAUUUUAACGGGGCCUCCUGUGCAGGGGUUUUAAUGGGGCCUCCUGUGCAGGGGUGCAGGGAUUGUAACGGAACUUUCUGUUCAGAGAUUGUAACGGGACCUUCUGUGCAGGGGUUGUAACAGGGCAUCCUGUGCAGGGGUUGUAACAGGGUCACCUGUGCAGCGGUUAUAACACAGCCUCCUGUGCAGGGUUUGUAACAGGGGCACCUUUGCAGGGGUUGUAACAGCUGAAGCCUGAAGCUGGUCCUGUAGCAUCGGCCCUUCACCCAUGUCCCAGUUUUCUGUUGCUGAGUGAUAAACCACCCAGUAUUUCAUGGAGCAAAACAGCCAUUAUUAAAGCCCCAGGUUCUGUGGGGCAGAAAUUCAGGAGGGGCUUGGCCAGGCGAUUCUUCUGCUCCGUGCGGCCUUGGCUGGCAUCGCUCGGUGGUACUCGGCAGGUGGGUGGCUGGGUCUGGAAAGCCAAGGUGGCAGCACUCACAUCUGGCACCUUGGCUGGGGUGACUGGCAGACUGGACGCAUCUGGGGCUGCCAGUCAGAGCAACCCCACGUGGCCCAGCCUCAGGGUCAGACUUCCACUGGGAGGGCUAGGCGGCAUACGCUAAUUCACUUGUUCAUUCAUUCAUUUGGCAAAUAUUUAUUGUGUACCCACCAUGUGGCAGGCCCUGUUUUAGGGGCUGGGGAUACAUCAAUCAUCAAUAAAAACUCCUGUCCACGCAGUGCUUUCAUUCUGGGGGGGAAGCAGAUAGAAACCAGAUUAAUGAGUCAGAGAAAAUGCAAGAGGGAGGACAGCGACCCAGAGGAGAUGACAUGUUGAGGAGGGGCCUGACAAAAUUGUAGGUCCCAUGUUCCAAAAGUG